rnacentral:rRNA from 1 species
CAAUAGCAUAUAUUAACGUUGUUGCAGUUGAAAAGCUCGUAGUUGAACUUUUGGUAGGAGCGACCUGGUCUUGGGCUGUAUGGUCCUUGUUUUACCGUGUGUCGUAUCUGGCCAUCCUUCUUCGCUUGUAAAAGAGUGAGGAUCAUUUACUGUGAGUAAACUGGAGUGCUCAAAACAAGACGUAUUGUUUGGUACAUUUUAGCAUGGAAUAAUAAGAUAGGACCUAGCUACUAUUUUGUUGGUUUGCAUAGCUGGGUAAUGAUGAAUAGGAACAGUCGGAGGUAUUCGUAUUUAAUUGUCAGAGGUGAAAUUCUUGGAUUUCUGAAAGACGAACCACUGCGAAAGCAUUUACCAAGGAUGUUUUCAUUAA